AUCUAAAAAGCCGAUGGUCUGAGGGGUGCAGGGCCAGAUCCCAGAAGGGGCACAACUUCUGUGAAAUUGCUUCUCAGUUCCCCUGUUUUUAAAAGAGGAGGUGGCAUCUAACAUAAAAGAAUGCAUGACUUGGCCAGGUGCAGUGGCUCACACCUGUAAUCUCAGCACUUUGGGAGGCCAAGGCGGGUGGAUCACCUGAGGUCAGAAGUUCAAGACCAGCCUGGACAAUGAGGUGACACCUCGUCUCUACUAAGAAUACAAAAAUUAGCUGGGCGUGGUGGCAUGCACGCACCUGUAGCCCCAGCUACUCAGGGGGUUGAGGCAGGAGGAUUGCUUGAGCCUGGGAGGUGGAGGUUUCAGCAAGCUGAGACUGCACUACUGCACUCCAGCCUGGGCAACAGAGUGAGCGAGAGCGAGAGGGAGAAGCAGAAGCAGAAGAAGAAGAAAAGGAAAGAAGAAAGAAGAAGAAGAGAAGAGAAUGCAUUACUUUACUCAUUGUGGAAUCUCAGCUGCAUUUGGGGAAUGGAGCCAGAAGAAACGUUUCCCCAUGCUUAGUGGUUCUCCUCUUCCUUUUCCUCCACCCGCAGCUGCAUUUGGGGAAUGGAGCCAGAAGAAACGUUUCCCCAUGCUUAGUGGUUCUCCUCUUCCUUUUCCUCUGGAAAGGAAUGGCAAGGUUUGCUUCUAUCUGCAUG
rnacentral:lncRNA from 10 species